rnacentral:rRNA from 1 species
AACGAACGCUGGCGGCAUGCCUAACACAUGCAAGUCGAACGAGACCUUCGGGUCUAGUGGCGCACGGGUGCGUAACGCGUGGGAAUCUGCCCUUGGUUCGGAAUAACAGUUAGAAAUGACUGCUAAUACCGGAUGAUGACGAAAGUCCAAAGAUUUAUCGCCGAGGGAUGAGCCCGCGUAGGAUUAGCUAGUUGGUGAGGUAAAGGCUCACCAAGGCGACGAUCCUUAGCUGGUCUGAGAGGAUGAUCAGCCACACUGGGACUGAGACACGGCCCAGACUCCUACGGGAGGCAGCAUGGGGAAUAUUGGACAAUGGGCGAAAGCCUGAUCCAGCAAAUGCCGCGUGAGUGAUGAAGGCC